CACGUAGGGCGCAAGCGUUACUCGGAAUUACUGGGCGUAAAGCGUGCGUAGGUGGUUUGUUAAGUCCGUUGUGAAAGCCCUGGGCUCAACCUGGGAAUGGCAGUGGAUACUGGCGAGCUAGAGUGCGGUAGAGGGUAGUGGAAUUCCCGGUGUAGCAGUGAAAUGCGUAGAGAUCGGGAGGAACACCAGUGGCGAAGGCGGCUACCUGGACCAGCACUGACACUGAGGCACGAAAGCGUGGGGAGCAAACAGG
rnacentral:rRNA from 1 species